UGGCAGAGGAUGAAGGGGUCAUCGUCGCAGAUCCCAGGGUGAUUGAAAGAUCGUAGGAGAUUAAACAUUAAAUAUGAACUGUUCUGUAGUUACAAUUCAUUACAGUGUAGCGGUACAAGUUCUUACACAAGUGAAAUAUGUCGGGGAGGGGGGUUGGGCUAUCCAGGGGUAAGUGGAUGGUAGGUCUAAGUUUUGUAACAACCUAUAACAUUAACACUUAAUGCUAUCUAAUACAUAGCAAGAUAAUUCUCAUAUACCUAUAUUGUUUGCACUAUUACAUGGUAACAUGUAAUGUAACUUUUACAUGGUACUUAGUGUAACGCAAAUGUAAAUAGAUGCAGAGAAGGGUAACUACUGUAUGCCUACCAUCAAAUUAACUGUUGUUUAAACAAUAGAUUGUUAGGAAGUGUUUCUUGAAAAUACUGUCACAAAAUUUUCUAAAUUACAAUUUUUAAGGCAUCAACAUUACUACUGGAAAUUACAGUUGGAGUUGUGUCAAGAAUGCUGUACUGAAACAUUCAAACAAAAAGGAAAUGGCAGACGCAGACCGCACAGGAAAUAUGUGGGGAAGACAAAUCCGCAUUGCCUCUCCUAUUAUAAAUACUAUUAAUGUAUUUCAACCACAUUUUUUGUGAUGUGUUGUGGACCAAAAACUUGCCUGCCAGUCAUUUCAAUUAAGCAUUUGUAUUUAUGUGCAUAUUCAAGACUAUAUUUUUGAGUUGGUGUGACAGAGUAUACCUUUGACCUUUCCAGGCAUGACUGUUUACCAAGCCCAGCCUUACUUUGAGUCCAUGGGGAACAACUCCUUUCAGUUCACACUUCCUGUGUUUGCAGCCACAGAUUUUCAAAUUUUCCUGAAGGCCUACUUACCUAUUCUUGUGGCUAGUGGCUGUGUUACUGUUUGGCAGCUCAUAAAGGAGCGGAACCAACAACUUGAAAAUUGGAAUGAGAAGAAAAGAAAGUUACAUUGAUAACAUUACAUUUUCAAGAAAAUAAUGAAUUGGUUACUGAGCAACCAAUGAGGGCUGAACAACAUGCUCACUCUUGGCAACUAGAGGAAGUUGACAUUGUCAAGCAUCAAACAUCUCUGUGGUUUUGUUUGACAGCGUUUAAAAUGGUCAACAGGAAGCGGUAGUAUUCUGCAUAACUAAGGACAACAUAAACUGUAGCAAACCUUUGUAUCCAAGUAAACUAGUUUGAAGGUUGGAUUCUGUAUAAUUUAAAUAAAAA